rnacentral:rRNA from 1 species
UAGGGAAUCUUCCGCAAUGGGCGAAAGCCUGACGGAGCAACGCCGCGUGAGUGAUGAAGGUCUUCGGAUCGUAAAACUCUGUUAUUAGGGAAGAACAAAUGUGUAAGUAACUAUGCACGUCUUGACGGUACCUAAUCAGAAAGCCACGGCUAACUACGUGCCAGCAGCCGCGGUAAUACGUAGGUGGCAAGCGUUAUCCGGAAUUAUUGGGCGUAAAGCGCGCGUAGGCGGUUUUUUAAGUCUGAUGUGAAAGCCCACGGCUCAACCGUGGAGGGUCAUUGGAAACUGGAAAACUUGAGUGCAGAAGAGGAUAGUGGAAUUCCAUGUGUAGCGGUGAAAUGCGCAGAGAUAUGGAGGAACACCAGUGGCGAAGGCGACUUUCUGGUCUGUAACUGACGCUGAUGUGCGAAAGCGGGGGGAUCAAACAGG